AGUCCAUGAGAGAUAUAUUAAAUAUUUUUUAAGUUUUUGAAGGGUAUGUUGGAUAUUAACUUCUUUUCUUUUGUUUCUUGAACCAAAAGCAAUUUUCUUCCAUACUAAAUCAAUUUCUCUACUAUUCCUUUUUUAUUUAAAAAUCCAAACACAAUAUUUUCUAAUAACUUUUUAUAAUCAGUGCAACCAUCUAGCCAAGUAGUACUAACAACUCUUAAAUUGAGCUUAAACUGCUAACCCAAAAGCACAUUAGCCUAGUUAUUAAUACAAGAAAGCUGACGACAUAUAAUGUGCUCACACUCUCGCACAUUAUCUGAUGUUAGGACAAUU
rnacentral:lncRNA from 1 species